rnacentral:rRNA from 1 species
UGAGACACGGCCCAGACUCCUACGGGAGGCAGCAGUGGGGAAUAUUGCGCAAUGGGCGAAAGCCUGACGCAGCGACGCCGCGUGGGGGAUGACGGCCUUCGGGUUGUAAACCUCUUUCAGCAGGGACGAAGUUGACGUGUACCUGCAGAAGAAGCGCCGGCUAACUACGUGCCAGCAGCCGCGGUAAUACGUAGGGCGCAAGCGUUGUCCGGAAUUAUUGGGCGUAAAGAGCUCGUAGGUGGCUUGUCACGUCGGGUGUGAAAGCUUGGGGCUUAACUCCAGGUCUGCAUUCGAUACGGGCUGGCUAGAGGUAGGUAGGGGAGAACGGAAUUCCUGGUGUAGCGGUGAAAUGCGCAGAUAUCAGGAGGAACACCGGUGGCGAAGGCGGUUCUCUGGGCCUUACCUGACGCUGAGGAGCGAAAGCGUGGGGAGCGAACAGGAUUAGAUACCCUGGUAGUCCACGCUGUAAACGUUGGGCGCUAGGUGUGGGGACCUUCCACGGUUUCCGCGCCGUAGCUAACGCAUUAAGCGCCCCGCCUGGGGAGUACGGCCGCAAGGCUAAAACUCAAAGGAAUUGACGGGGGCCCGCACAAGCGGCGGAGCAUGUUGCUUAAUUCGACGCAACGCGAAGAACCUUACCAAGGCUUGACAUUGCCCGGAAACACUCAGAGAUGGGUGCCUCUUCGGAUCGGGUGACAGGUGGUGCAUGGCUGUCGUCAGCUCGUGUCGUGAGAUGUUGGGUUAAGUCCCGCAACGAGCGCAACCCUUGUUCAAUGUUGCCAGCACGCUCCUUCGGGGGUGGUGGGGACUCAUUGGAGACUGCCGGGGUCAACUCGGAGGAAGGUGGGGAUGACGUCAAGUCAUCAUGCCCCUUAUGUCUUGGGCUGCAAACAUGCUACAAUGGCCGGUACAGAGGGCUGCGAUACCGCAAGGUGGAGCGAAUCCCUAAAAGCCGGUCUCAGUUCGGAUUGGGGUCUGCAACUCGACCCCAUGAAGUCGGAGUCGCUAGUAAUCGCAGAUCAGCAACGCUGCGGUGAAUACGUUCCCGGGCCUUGUACACACCGCCCGUCACGUCACGAAAGUCGGCAACACCCGAAGCCCGUGGCCCAACCAGCUUGCUGGGGGGAGCGGUCGAAGGUGGGGCUGGCGAUUGGGACGAAGUCGGAACAAGGUAGCCGUACCGGAAGGUGCGGCUG